rnacentral:lncRNA from 1 species
GAGGGCUAACUUAGACCUUAGUUAAAGACUUCCCUAGUCAUUAAUAGCCUAGAUCCUUUCAUUAGAUACAAAGCAAAUUAUUCUCUAGUUAACCAUUGGUCUAAAACCAAUCUAACACUUGUCUGGUCGAAUCACCUUAGCCUUGGUCAUUUUACUCAACUACCAAUUAGCUUAAAGGUCAAUCCUAAACCCAAACCAAGCCAUACGAUUCUGAGGUUCCAUUCCCCUAAACCAUUCUAUCUAGAUCUACAUAAGUAAAUGCUAGAUCAUACUUUUGCCACAUCUUUGGAGCUUAUUAGGUAAUCGGUCCUCCAUUGACUCAAAUUGCUCUUACUUGACAGCUGGACCAUGAUCAAUCAAUGAUCUUACUUAUGGUCCUUAUCUUGACUCCUGCAUCAAACAGCUCCCCUAGGUACUUAGUCAUUCAACCAACCAUCCCGACAGACAUAAGUAACCUUUGAGAAGUCUAUGAAAGGAAAAGGAUAUACAUCUGGCCUUUCUCGGAUCAUGCACAAUCCGAAAUCCUUUUGCCUUAUAGGCAACAGUACCAAGUCCAUAUUCUGGACUGACAAAGCUCAUUAGAUCCUAAUUCAAUCAACCAACCAUCCUCACAUGACUUGGAACUCAUGAGUCAUCAUCUGGUCUGAUCGGCCUUGGGACUUAACCCAGACAACAUAUAUGAUUUGUUCAUAC